rnacentral:rRNA from 1 species
GAUGAACGCUGGCGGCGUGCCUAAUACAUGCAAGUCGAGCGAACAGACGAGGAGCUUGCUCCUCUGACGUUAGCGGCGGACGGGUGAGUAACACGUGGAUAACCUACCUAUAAGACUGGGAUAACUUCGGGAAACCGGAGCUAACACCGGAUAAUAUAUUGAACCGCAUGGUUCAAUAGUGAAAGACGGUUUUGCUGUCACUAAUAGAUGGAUCCGCGCCGCAUUAGCUAGUUGGUAAGGUAACGGCUUACCAAGGCAACGAUGCGUAGCCGACCUGAGAGGGUGAUCGGCCACACUGGAACUGAGACACGGUCCAGACUCCUACGGGAGGCAGCAGUAGGGAAUCUUCCGCAAUGGGCGAAAGCUUGACGGAGCAACGCCGCGUGAGUGAUGAAGGUCUUCGGAUCGUAAAACUCUGUUAUUAGGGAAGAACAAAUGUGUAAGUAACUAUGCACGUCUUGACGGUACCUAAUCAGAAAGCCACGGCUAACUACGUG